rnacentral:tRNA from 2 species
UAGGAAAUAGUUUAUAAAAAAUAUUAAUUUUGGGUAUUAAUGAUAAAGGGUUUCCUUUUUUCCUAA